rnacentral:rRNA from 1 species
GGUCAGGACGAACGCUGGCGGCGUGCUUCAUACAUGCAAGUCGAACGAGUAGCUCACUUCGGUGAGUGGAAAGUGGCGGACGGGUGAGUAAUGUGUAGAGAAUCUGCCCUAGAGUGGGGGAUAGCAGUUGGAAACGACUAUUAAUACCCCAUAUGCGCGUAGCUGAGAUGCUAUUCGUGAAAACUCCGGUGCUCUGGGAUGAGUCUGCAUCUGAUUAGCUAGUAGGCGGUGUAAUGGACCACCUAGGCGACGAUCAGUAGCUGGUUUGAGAGGAUGAUCAGCCACAAUGGGACUGAGACACGGCCCAUACUCCUACGGGAGGCAGCAGUAGGGAAUUUUGCGCAAUGGGGGCAACCCUGACGCCAGCAACGCCGCGUGAUUGAAGAAGCCCUUCGGGGUGUAAAGAUCUGUCAGUGGGGACGAAACUUGACGGUACCCACAGAGGAAGCAUCGGCUAACUCCGUGCCAGCCGCAGC